AUGGCUGAGCGGUAAAGCGCUUGGCUUCUGAACCAGGGGUCCGGGUUCGAAUCCUGGU
rnacentral:tRNA from 1 species